rnacentral:lncRNA from 1 species
ACAGCACAUGCGCGGAGUCCAGCCCCGGGCUGGCGGGCAACUGUCUCACCUGCUCACCUCGUGGCUUCGGCGGGCAGCUCCGGGACAUCGGGUCUUGGCGUCUUCACUCCCAGGAGAGCAGAUCCACCGCAUCAAGGGGAGCUGUGAAAACGGAAGGCAGAGCUGAGGAUGCCUGUGCCUGGGCCCUCCUACCGGGUGUCCGUCUCUGCGAGGGGGGAAGACGGGGGAGAGCGGCGCUGCCCCCACCACCUCCCGCGGGAAGGGGACGCUGCAGGUGCCCAUCACCCAGUGAGGGUGGCAUUAGCCUGGUGGCACCACCGAGCCGCCCCGCGACCCGCUGCUCCUGCCCCUGGCGAUCUGACGUUUCAGUUUCUUUCACUUAAAUUUCAAGGGCAGCAGUCACGUGUGGUUACCAGAGCGGACAGCCCAGAAGUAGAGCAUAUCAACCACACGGACUGUUCCACGGGGCUGUUCUAGAGGGAGCAGGAGACACAUGGACGCAUUCACAGGAUGGAAACAAUCCCGGCCCGUGGACAGAGCAUGUUUACAUUCUCAUCGGGGUCUCUGCAGCCUUUCUCCUUUGUCUCCUCCUCUUGGUCCUCCUCCUCCUCCAGCGCUGGCAUCAGAGGAAACGGGGGCCCCCCAGAAACAAAGGCAAGGAGCCAGAGCCCCAGGAGAGGCUCAGCCCAGCUGUUGACGUCCUAGAUGGGACACCAGACCCGGCCACUGUCCACAGACUUCCUGAGAAGGACAGAGAGACGGAAGCUUCGACCCCUGCUGACCUGCAGGAGGUGACAUAUGCCCAGCUGGACCACCGGACCCUCACACAGAGGGCAGCCAGAGCUGUGACCCCACCAUCCACAGAGCCUGCAGCCGAGUCCAGCACAUACGCAGCCAUCUCCAGACACUGACCCCAAGCCCCCCUGGCCUCUGUAGCAAAGACACUGCGAGUCACUCUUGCAAAAGCCUGAGGUGGCUAUUUGGAGGGUUUUGCCCUUUCUGGACAGUCAUCCUGUCACGACUCCUGGAGGCAAGAGCUGGAGUCCCCACAGCCCUGAUCGUCAUCUAGAAGAUUCAGCAGCCAUGUGGUCCCUCCCACAGUCAACUAGCUCCUUGGAGAGAAUGUGUAGCACCUGUUUCUAGAGACCCAGCUGGGGUCUCUUGGCUGUUUCCAGAGACCCAGCGGUGGCCCUACAGUCACCCAGCUGAUUCCAGACGUGUCCUAUGAAUCCCCCCCUGUCCCCAGAGAUCCAUUUUAACUGUCCUCUCAGCUGACUUGAUGAAAUUCCCAGACUUCAGCUGUUGACCUUGACCCUGGGCUGUACUUAUGCAGCCAAAAGCACAGACCACGUCUUCUGGAACAUGCUUCACCUUGUUCCGCAAUAAUAAAUGUUCCCACAGGC